rnacentral:lncRNA from 1 species
AGCGCUCGGAGGCUGGUUUGGUCCGAAUGACUACCUGUAGACCACGUGACUGUUGUCACUACGCCUUGCAGCUUCUGCACACGCAUGCUAGACGCUCCGAAGCUAAUAAUAAUACAAUAAUACGCUUUGGCUUGGAGCCUCGCAGGAAACAGUCGACUGUGUGAAAUAUGUUGUUCUCGACGAGGGAUUUGGCGUUGACGGUAGCGGUAGAAGCAGUCCUGGACGUUGUAGCUUUGCAGGCUACCGGGAGAUAGCAUUAGCGGCUAUGCGGCUAACUGGAUCCGCCGGGUUCACAAACAACCGCUGAAGACAGCUAAGGAAUGGAUCUGCGGUGUGAUACAAAGCAGAUCGUGGAUGACGAGCUGGAUUACAGUGAGUCACGCACCGGUGGUCAGUCCAGAGGAUGAGCUUUCCAGCGAGGCUAGGCCUAACAAUGCAUCAGGAGGAGCAUCACGGUUGGGCCUCCAGAGCCGAAAGCAGACAGAGAUCAGCAUGUGAACAGCAAGAGACACAAGGAGGCGAGAAGAGGACAUGAUGAGCAUGGCAGAGCUCAGGAGGACUUCUUACAUCAGAAGGCAGUAGUGGUGGCUGAAGAAAGGCAAAGAGGACAUCAGAAGGCAGCGCAGAGAUGUGUCAGAAGGAGUGUCGCAGUCUGGAUGUCCAGCGACCAAAGUGGACAGAUGAGGUGUGUAAUUGUGAAUGCUUAUCAAAGGUCACAUGAGUUCAGGAGGAAAGAAGAGGACAGGAUGAGCACAGCAGAGCUCAGGAAGAUGUCUUAACAACAGGAUGCCAAAGAGUAGCAUGUGUGUGUCUGGGGCGUCUGCACAUCUCAGUUGAGUGUGUGCUGAUUAGGAAGUGUAUUUGUGUAAGGGCUAUGUAGGCAGUAAUGUGGUAAUGUCUGUGUGUUGUUGUAGUGUUUUGUAGGUUAGCUGCCAGUGAAAGUGCUGUGUCUGUAAUGUUGUGUUCCUUUUGUGUUGUAUUGACUUAGUUGACUUGGUAGCAGGAUGAUUGUGACAAGUAUGUAGUAUUGAAAGGUUUGUGUUGUAGGCUGUAAGGUGUGUGAUGUUGUUGUUGUUAUGUUGUUAAAACAUAUGUGUAGUGCAUUUACAUAUGUUUUAUUUUUGUAUGUGAAAAUGUAUGUCUGUAUUUGUUUUAUUUGUCAUGUAUAUGUGUAUGUAUACUUACAUGCAUUAUUGCAAGUGUAGUCCUCAGUCAUGUGUGAGU